rnacentral:misc_RNA from 1 species
GAUGAAGAACGUAGCGAAAUGCGAUAAGUAGUGUGAAUUGCAGAAUUCAGUGAAUCAUCGAAUCUUUGAACGCACAUUGCGCCCCUUGGUAUCCCGAGGGGCAUGCCUGUUCGAGCGUCAUUUCACCACUCAAGCCUGGCUUGGUGUUGGGCGACGUCCUCUUUGGGGACGCGCCUCGAAACGCUCGGCGGCGUGGCACCGGCUUUAAGCGUAGCAGAAUCUUUCGCUUUGGAAGUCGGGGCCCCGUCUGCCGGAAGACCUGCUCGCAAGGUUGACCUCGGAUCAUGCAGGGAUACCCGCUGAACUUAAGCAUAUCAAUAAGCGGAGGA